rnacentral:SRP_RNA from 1 species
UGGACGACUCCUUUGUGAACUGGGUCAGGACCGG